rnacentral:rRNA from 1 species
GGCGAACGGGUGAGUAACACGUGAGUAACCUGCCCUUGACUUUGGGAUAACUUCAGGAAACUGGGGCUAAUACCGGAUAGGAGCUCCUGCUGCAUGGUGGGGGUUGGAAAGUUUCGGCGGUUGGGGAUGGACUCGCGGCUUAUCAGCUUGUUGGUGGUGUAGUGGCUUACCAAGGCUUUGACGGGUAGCCGGCCUGAGAGGGUGACCGGCCACAUUGGGACUGAGAUACGGCCCAG